ACAAUGGAGAGUUUGAUCCUGGCUCAGGAUGAACGCUAGCGGCAGGCCUAAUACAUGCAAGUCGAACGGGAUUCGAGACUUCGG
rnacentral:rRNA from 1 species